AGCAUAUCCACCAGUUCAAACAGUUCAGACCCAAAAUGAAGUUGCGCCUGGAUCUGACGUGUCUUUGCGAUGUGACGUCCCUCUCCUGAAUGAAUCCUCCACGUUGCUCUGGGAGAAAGACGGAGAACAAAUAUCCAACACCACACUGAUCUACAACAACUCUGCCUUCAUCAUCUUACACACUGUUGAUGAACACAGUGAAGGGAAAUAUUACUGUAGACUGAUGGAAGAUGGAAAAACAGAAACUGUUAGGAUUCACACACUUAAUGUAACUUUACGUAAGUAUAUAUUUUAAUGUUAAUUCUGAGUUGUAUGCCAAAAUGAUUAUGAUCUAUAACUUUUUUCCAUUAAGUAUUCUGCAGAAGUUGUUUCUUGUGUUUGUUUGUUUGGUUGUUUUUUAAGCUUUAGGCAUCAAGACUCUCCUUUCACAGAUAUGCAUAGAAAUGAAAUGUUUUAACUGAGAUAUAUUCACUGAAAUUCACCAGGUUAUCUAUUUUCUUUCCAGUGUCAUACAAUGGAAAAAAAAAAUCGUCUUAUUUACAGGCAAAGCUCCAGUAAUAGUGACUCAUCUGCAAAUCUAUCAAGACUUAUGAGAGCUUUAUGUGGACCUGGGAGCAGAGGCCUAAUUCACAGAUUGAUCUGAUAGCCUUUGAAAAAGAAAGACAAGUUCAGUUAAAAGGACCAAUUAAACCAGGGAUACGUUCUUCAACCAAAUACAACAGUCAAGCUUUAAUCUUUCACAUCUCACCUGUGUACUUCAAUUACAGAGGGACAUACAGAUGUAUUACAGAAAAAAGCAUCUACACAACAAUAAUACUACACACCAUCAGAGUCUCAGUGGAGCCCCCUGAUGGUGUGUUGAGGAAUCAGUCAGUGGUUCUUACCUGUGAGCUUCCUGAAGUAACUGAUUCAGUGAUGUUGGUCUGGCUCAGGAUGGAGGGGAACAGAUGAGUUUUGGUCAAACAGCACAUUAUGACUAAAAAAAUAACAAGUUACAACUCACAGUGAAUCUAUCCAGCUAUGAAUCAGACCUGAUGAACUGGCAGUGUGCAGUUUUUACUGAGAAUACACUCAGAGCUCUGGCCCCCAUAACAAACAGUCUUAACUUAUCAGAUUUGUCAAUAGAAACUUAAACUGUAACAAACCAAGGUAAUAUCUUUAAACCAUUAAUAUACAGUAUUUUCACCUUGAAUAAGAUUAAUACACAUAAGACAUUCAAUCUGAAUGUUCUGUAGUUUACAUGAAUAAUUUGUCACUGUGUAAUCAUGACACUGGUUUAAUUUAGUGGCUCAACAUGUUUCUGCAGAAGACACCAUGACACAGGACAGUCAUCUACAUAUCGUGAUCACUGUGGCUUGUGCUGUCAGUGUCAGUGUGUUGAUUCUGCUGGGACUUCUAGUUUUUAAAUAUCAGCGAAAAACAGGUGAGCUCAUCACAGAGACAGUAUAGGAAGGAGAAGAUGGGCCAUAGAAAAAAGAAUAGGACCAAUUGUGAUGCUCAAUAUGGCAGGUGAAUGAAUGUCCCACCUUUCGUUUAAAAAUCUACAGAAAUUGCCUUUUCACAGAGACAUUCCCUUUUUUUCUACUCUACAAACAUGAUUGAAUCGGCCUAAGUGUUGAUCAGGUUUUGGUCUGUCUCCAUUCACGUAGAUAAGAGCUGUACUUAGAAAUAGUUGCUUAAUGGAUACCAAAUCACCAGGCUAGCAUUAAGGGACAUUGCCUUAUCACAUUAAUAUUGCAGAUUAACCUCUGUGUGUUCUUUACAGUGAGAAAUCUAUGUUAUAUUUAUGGGUAACACUUUAUUUUGAUGGCCCCUUUUGAACAUUCUGUUGACAAUAAGUAAUGUUGCACCUACAUGUCUACUAACUCUCAAAGUAUUAGUAAACUGUCUGCUAAAUACCUGCUGACUCUUCAUUGUCAUGGGCUCCAAACAGACAUUCUAUAGAAGUAUACUGACUAUAAUCAACUCUGCAAGUACAUGUAAAACUUAUUCUAACCCUAACCCUACCAGUCUACUAAUACUCUAAUGAAAAUUAGUAGACAUGUAGGUGCAGUGUUACUUAUAGUUAACAGAAUGUGUUAAAGGGACCAUCAAAAUAAUGUGAAAACAAUAUAUGACUAUGAUUAUUUUUCCAGGAGCUGACAGCUGGUUUAAAUCCAGGUCUAUAAGUUCAGAGGUUAGCUGUGAAACACCUUCUAUCAUUAACAUUUCAAAUUGUCAUUUUGAUGUGCUAAUGAUACAUAUGUUAUAUAUGACUGUGAUUUCUGUAUACAGUCUUUAAGCUUGUACAUUUCAAUAAUUACAGGUGUUGGACUGCAGUACUACAGUCAUCUACUGAGCUAAUCCAGCACACUGAGCCAGCAUUGGCACAGAAGCUGUGCAGAGCAGAUUCAAGAAACAUCUUAAAACCGUCUCUUCCAUGAGAACUUAACUGCAUCCUGCUGAGAAAAUAAAUAAAUAAAUAAUUACA
ensembl:lncRNA